rnacentral:rRNA from 1 species
AACGAACGCUGGCGGCAGGCCUAACACAUGCAAGUCGAGCGAACCUUCGGGUUAGCGGCGGACGGGUUAGUAACGCGUGGGAACGUGCCCAAAGGUACGGAAUAGCCUCGGGAAACUGAGAGUAAUACCGUAUGUGCCCCUCGGGGGAAAGUUUUAUCGCCUUUGGAUCGGCCCGCGUUGGAUUAGGUAGUUGGUGGGGUAACGGCCUACCAAGCCGACGAUCCAUAGCUGGUUUGAGAGGAUGAUCAGCAACACUGGGACUGAGACACGGCCCAGACUCCUACGGGAGGCAGCAGUGGGGAAUCUUAGACAAUGGGGGAAACCCUGAUCUAGCCAUGCCGCGUGAGCGAUGAAGGCCUUAGGGUUGUAAAGCUCUUUCAGCUGGGAAGAUAAUGACGGUACCAGCAGAAGAAGCCCCGGCUAACUCCGUGCCAGCCGCCGCUGUAACAC